GGGGCUGUAGCUCAAUGGUACAGUGCUCACCUUGCACGUGUGAGGCACUGGGUUCAAUCCUCAGCACCA
rnacentral:tRNA from 1 species